CCUACGGGGGGCAGCAGUGGGGAAUAUUGGACAAUGGGGGCAACCCUGAUCCAGCCAUGCCGCGUGUGUGAAGAAGGCCUCGGGUUGUAAAGCACUUUCAGUGAGGAAGAACGCCUGGUGGUUAAUACCCAUCAGGAAAGACAUCACUCACAGAAGAAGCACCGGCUAACUCCGUGCCAGCAGCCGCGGUAAUACGGAGGGUGCGAGCGUUAAUCGGAAUUACUGGGCGUAAAGCGCGCGUAGGUGGCUUGAUAAGCCGGUUGUGAAAGCCCCGGGCUCAACCUGGGAACGGCAUCCGGAACUGUCAAGCUAGAGUGCAGGAGAGGAAGGUAGAAUUCCCGGUGUAGCGGUGAAAUGCGUAGAGAUCGGGAGGAAUACCAGUGGCGAAGGCGGCCUUCUGGACUGACACUGACACUGAGGUGCGAAAGCGUGGGUAGCAAACAGGAUUAGAUACCCUAGUAGUC
rnacentral:rRNA from 1 species